GCCUCUUUGUCUGCUCUGGGACUUGGAACAAAAGGGGAAACUCUGAUGAACUCCUUCUCCAGCUCCCUGGACGCCCGAGUAUCUCUUUCUCGCAACUUUGUCAACGCGACUUUCUCCGCUGUCAGGCUGCGCAAAAGUAUCCUAGCGCCUCGCAGGCUGCAACAAUGGAAACAAUGUCCCUUCAAAGUGCGACGAAGUGGAGGGAGAAGGUGUCAUACCAGCGACUCCAAGAGUCAUGUCACCCACUUAGCAGGAGUACUUCUACUGAAAUGCCUUCGAAUUUCUCUUACUGGAUAUAUACCUACCAGCCGCUAGCAUGAAGAUGCCAGGACCGCUGCAAGUUAGCACUGGACAAAGUAGCAUCAACUUCUUCAUUUAGAGUUUCUUCAGUUAAAUUGCUGGGAUUUUCGACAAGGCUUUCCUUAUGUGGAUUAUUGGAGUGUGAUGCCCGAGAAUUCUCUACUUGUAGAAGCACGCCCACGGGACUGCAGAAGCCUUCACACCCACCCAGCACGCUCAGAUCAUCCAGUAACCAACCCAGGAAGUUCUUGUAAGCAUGCAUUUCUUAGUCAACACUGAAUGCCUUUAGACCGAGGUCAACCUUUUCAGCUGGUACCGUGGUUUACACUGCUGAAAGUACUGUCUUCAACCUUACCAAUGUCAGUGGCGGCGACGGUGGCGUCACCAUCACCAUCAGAGAAAAAGAAAUAUGCCUUUAUGUCAUGAUGGGAAUGAGUGAUGGCCAUCCAGUGACCAGCUGGAUCUGACUGCCUUACAAGACGCAUGUGUAUGAUUAAGAGAGAGACAUUCGUGACUCCCAGAUGUACCUCCUUCCUGUCCCACAGUGUUCCUGAAGGGAGUGAGUUAUGGGGUAACUUAUAACACAGCAGGCUCUUCCUCAAGAUAGCUCUUGUCAAAACAGGAAGACGAAACUCGGGUUUCCAUGAGGAGACCACAGCUUGGGAUCCUGUCUGGAUGUACAAGCAGAAGCAUCUUCAUACUUUUCCAUUUCUAACCAUCAUGCCUCACCCCACCCUCCCAAGGCGACAUCUGCAGAGAGGUGGAACCAUCUAGGGAGGCCUGCCACUGUUUGCUGAGCUCCGGGUGAGGAUGAAGACACUUUGACAUGGCCAGCUUCAGACUCGGGAUCUGUCGGUGUUAGCAGCCGAAGUUUUCAGGAUGUGUUCCUGAGUCUCGUGAGUAGCACAUGGCAGUUGUUGUCACCUUGGGCUGAGCCGUGAAGAUUCUCACCCUCCCUUGUUGGGGAUGAACUCCGGGAUUCUAAGGAGAGGUCAGCAGGUGUUUCACAGACUGUUCCUGUUGGAGGAUUUGUCUGAUACUCUUCUCCUGAUUAGUCUGGGCUCUACAUUUCCCCAAGGGUGAAACUUGGAAGCCCUCUCCAGGAUGCAGCAGGUAGCUGAGGAGAAAACGAAGACUGACCAGCCCAGAGCUCAGAGCUUCCUCCCAUGCUCAGGAUUUACCACCAAUGCCAUUACAUCGGCCUCUUCUUGUAUGCCUCUGGAAACCACAUGUGUCCUCUGUUUGUAAUGGUUUGGCUAUGGUUGCUGGCCCCUCUUGGACAUUGUUUUCAGAACUUAAAGAAACAUUGCUUUAAAGAUUUAUUAGAACAUAUUUAAAAUAAAACCAUCUUCUCAUUUA
rnacentral:lncRNA from 1 species